UGGGGAAUAUUGCACAAUGGGCGCAAGCCUGAUGCAGCCAUGCCGCGUGUAUGAAGAAGGCCUUCGGGUUGUAAACUACUUUCAGCGGGGAGGAAGGGAGUAAAGUUAAUACCUUUGCUCAUUGACGUUACCCGCAGAAGAAGCACCGGCUAACUCCGUGCCAGCAGCCGCGGUAAUACGGAGGGUGCAAGCGUUAAUCGGAAUUACUGGGCGUAAAGCGCACGCAGGCGGUCUGUCAAGUCGGAUGUGAAAUCCCCGGGCUUAACCUGGGAACUGCAUUCGAAACUGGCAGGCUAGAGUCUUGUAGAGGGGGGUAGAAUUCCAGGUGUAGCGGUGAAAUGCGUAGAGAUCUGGAGGAAUACCGGUGGCGAAGGCGGCCCCCUGGACAAAGACUGACGCUCAGGUGCGAAAGCGUGGGGAGCAAACAGG
rnacentral:rRNA from 1 species